rnacentral:snRNA from 1 species
GUACUCACUUCAGCAGUACAUAUACUAUAACUGGAACGUUACAGAGAAGAUUAGCAGGACCCCUGCACAAGGAUGACACACAAAUUCGUGAAGCAUUUCAUAUUUUU